rnacentral:rRNA from 1 species
UACGGGGGGGGGUAAGCGUUGUUCGGAAUUACUGGGCGUAAAGGGCUCGUAGGCGGCCAACUAAGUCAUACGUGAAAUCCCUCAGCUUAACUGGGGAACUGCGUGUGAUACUGGAUGGCUUGGAUUUGGGAGAGGGAUGCGGAAUUCCAGGUGUAGCGGUGAAAUGCGUAGAUAUCUGGAGGAACACCGGUGGCGAAGGCGGCAUCCUGGACCAAUAUUGACGCUGAGGAGCGAAAGUGUGGGGAGCGAACAGG